rnacentral:rRNA from 1 species
CCAAUAGCGUAUAUUAAAGUUGUUGCAGUUAAAAAGCUCGUAGUUGAAUUUCGGGAUUGACGCAUCGGUCGUGCCUUAAGGGGUAUGAACUGGUGUAGUCAAUUUCUCACCUUCUGGAGAACCGCGAUGACCUUAAUUGGGUGUCAAGGGGAACCAGGACCUUUACUUUGAAAAAAUUAGAGUGUUUAAAGCAGGCAUUUUGCUUGAAUACAUUAACAUGGAAUAAUAAAAUAGGACGGCAUGAUUCUAUUUUGUUGGUUUCUAGGAUCACCGUAAUGAUUAAUAGGGAUAGUUGGGGGCAUUAGUAUUCAAUUGUCAGAGGUGAAAUUCUUGGAUUUAUUGAAGACUAACUACUGCGAAAGCAUUUGCCAAGGAUGUUUUCAUUAAUCAAGAACGAAAGUUAGGGGAUCGAAGACGAUCAGAUACCGUCGUAGUCUUAACCAUAAACUAUGCCGACUAGGAAUCAGACGAUGUUAAUUUUUUAAUGACUCGUUUGGCACCUUACG